rnacentral:rRNA from 1 species
UAUGGUCUCGUAGGUGACCUGCGGAGGGUCAUUACACAAAUAUGAAGGCGGGCUGGAACCUCUCGGGGUUACAGCCUUGCUGAAUUAUUCACCCUUGUCUUUUGCGUACUUCUUGUUUCCUUGGUGGGUUCGCCCACCACUAGGACAAACAUAAACCUUUUGUAAUUGCAAUCAGCGUCAGUAACAAAUUAAUAAUUACAACUUUCAACAACGGAUCUCUUGGUUCUGGCAUCGAUGAAGAACGCAGCGAAAUGCGAUAAGUAGUGUGAAUUGCAGAAUUCAGUGAAUCAUCGAAUCUUUGAACGCACAUUGCGCCCUUUGGUAUUCCAAAGGGCAUGCCUGUUCGAGCGUCAUUUGUACCCUCAAGCUUUGCUUGGUGUUGGGCGUCUUGUCUCUAGCUUUGCUGGAGACUCGCCUUAAAGUAAUUGGCAGCCGGCCUACUGGUUUCGGAGCGCAGCACAAGUCGCACUCUCUAUCAGCAAAGGUCUAGCAUCCACUAAGCCUUUUUUUCAACUUUUGACCUCGGAUCAGGUAGGGAUACCCGCUGAACUUAA